UCAGGCAUUGUCUGUCCUCCGCCUCCCUCCCGGGGCCAGGAGUGUCAAGGGGCCUGGCUCGGGGCGGCUGCAGAGGCGGCUGUGGACGUUCUCGGGGUUCAAGACUUCAGGUGAAGAUGUCUUCUUUUGAGUUGAAGAGGGUCCCAUGAUUACCUGACAUGGACUUGAGAGUUUAAUGUGGAUAAAGCCUUCUGAAGUACCAGGACACUGUUAGGCUCCCUUAUUUACUCUGAGGCAGUCAGGAGCAAACAAAGCUUAACCUUCACGUGUACGACGAUGGGACAAAGAGUUACCUUUGCCUCAAACAAGUUAAUUUUCAAAGCUCUCCCAAGAAGA